CAUGUCGAUAUCAUUCUGCAAAAUCACCACGACCUUCAAUGCAACGCCAGUUAUACUGAUUCCAACAAUGAUUCACCUCAAUUUAUAUCAGUAUCCACUACGACGGAUGCAAUUACUUCGUUCAAAACGCCCUCUCCUGUCGCCGCCUAUCUGCCCUCUCCUGUCGCCGCCUCUCUGCCCUCUUUGGCCCCAUUGACGGAUCUAUCCCCAUUCGUCAUCCUAUCUACUACCUCCUUCAGCCGGCCCUGUCGCUUUACUAAAUAAUUAUAAUAGGCCGGCCCAAAUGUCCGUCGAUUCAGAAACAGGUGUCCAGAGUCAUCAAACGUCCAGACUUAGACAUUAGAGGCCCACUAGACACACCAUCGGGAGUCAUCCAAUACUGGAGCACAUUUCAAUACCGGUACACUCGUCGCAUCAGCCAACGGAUCAUCCGCACACGUCUGUUGCUCGGCUCGUGGGCCCGAUCUACGCAGGUUGCUUUUGACUGGGCCGUGAAAGCCAAAAGAAAUGGCUCAAGGACUGUAAGGAUACUGAGGAACAAGGGUGGGAGGAAGAUAAGGAGGAAGAUAAGGAGGAAGAUAAGAGGAAGAUGCAGGAGGAGUUUUGAGUGUCGAGGAGAGAGAGAGAGAAGAACAAGGGGAGAGGAAGUGCAGGAGGACCGUGCAGAAGGCGUAGAGAGAGAGAUCCGAGCAAAGGGUACAGGGGAAGUGUGGAAAAGAUGAGUCGGCUCAUAGAGUUGGGAAACAUAUAAAAGGCGUAUCUUCGAGUAGAUAAAAUGCAACGCCCCA
rnacentral:sRNA from 1 species